AGUUUCCCUAUAAUUCGAGUUCUUAGCUUCUUAAAUUAUUUUCUUAUUUUUUUUUAUAGGUAGUAGAAGAAAGUUUCUAACUUAAUAAUAUAAUAUUCAAUAUUAAUUUGUAUUUCAUUCUAUUCCAAUUUUCGCUUAUUGUUAACUGGCUUUUGCAGUAAUUAACUAUAUUACUCUGUUGUAUUAUUAUUCUUCCAUUUGUUUCAUAAAAUAUAACACAUCUAGCUCAUAGGAAUUCAGUUGAUAAUUCAUCAUUAAAAUGUUGAGAUACAGAGGAAAGAAAUUUGCACUUAAUAUUGUAAAAGAAUUGGAUUCAUUUCCUAAGGUUCAAGAAGAAAUUUAUGAACUAUCUUCUUAUAGUAAUGUUAUACUGACAAUUUUGAUUUCUGUGUUUGGAUUGUGGUUAUUGAUUUCUGAAAUACAGUAUGUGUUACAAGAACAUUAUUUAAUAUACAGAUUUGUAUCAGACACGGACUAUGAAUCUAAACUUCCAAUUUACUUAGAUAUUAUUAUUGCAUCGACUUGUGAUAUAUAGGUCCUGAUGUUGUUGAUACAAUAGGACAAAAUAUGAUGUGUUUUGGAGAAUUAAAAACUGAUGAGACUUGAUGGCAUAGAGUAAAGAGGAAAUGACAAAAGAACAGCAACAACAUUUCAAAAAAAUGCGUGAAUUCAAUGUAUAUUUAAGAGAAGAAUAUCAUUAAAUGAAAGACAUAUAUGGAUAUAUCAUGGAUGUUUGAUGAUUAAAAUAUACCAAAAAAUAAAAUAUCUGUUAGAUGAUGGUUUGAAGAUAAAAAGAACCAACUGGUACCUACAUAUAAAAACCAAAGAAUUCGAUGAUCAUAUUAAACAGCUGUCCGUGCUAUUGGAGAUUGUGAGAUGGAUGUAGGAUAUGAGUUAAGUAUGGAAAGUGGAAGCCCGGAGCAUAGACUAUUGAUCGAUUCUCAGCUUUCCAAAAAACUGUAUUCAUUAUAUUGGCAUGCUGAAAUUAUUUCUGAAGCUUCCUCCUUUAUACGCCAUAGAGAAUGUCAAGUGUAUUUACAAUAUAAAUCUUAUUAAAAAAAUUUAACGACCAUUUAAAUUAUCUUGAUAGUUCUAGAGGACAGUGUGCCAUAGACUUAAUAACUAUAUUGAUAGUUUUUAUAGAUUUGUGGAAUGUAAUUUAUCGCAUUCCUUACCCAAUCCUAGAAGACUGAUCGUUGAAUUUGUCAAAGACGUGCAUUCACCAGAUGACUUCAAAACGAUGGCAAUGGCUUACUGGAUGAUUUUUGUAGGCCAUGAUCUAUCUCACACGGCAAUUUCUAGAAUGAUGAAUAGUAAUAAAACUGUGAGCUUUUGUUCAAAUUGCCGGAAGGAGAUCAUGCCUUGACUCAUGAACGAGUUGAGUAUGCAAGCAGUAGUGAUACCAGGCGAAGAUCUGUUUUCAGAAACAAUAUUCGUUGUAUGAACUACGUGCUUCCGGUGCCAGCUUUACGUUCUGAUUUUACUUUUGGACCCAAGGAACAAAUGAACCAAGCUACUCAUUAUUUAGAUGGGUCGAUGAUAUACGGUUCGUCGGUGAAAUGAACGUGGUCGUUGAGGACCACCAACUUGGACGUCCAACUGUUGACAAGCAUGGGCUGCGAUAACAAGAGCCAAGGCGACCUGUUGCAGCCGCAGUACAUGCUGCUGGAAGACACCGAAUCAAAUACCUAUCAGAAUGGCAGUGGCACUUGUUAUGGGCCAGGUGACAUCCGGGCAAACGCGCUUCCCCAACUGACGGUCAUGCACACAUUGUGGAUGAGGGAACAAAACCGGUUGGCCAAACUACUGUCACACGUCAACCCGCACUGGGACGACAAAUGUAUUUUCAGGAGGCCAGAAAAAUUGUUACGGCGUCCAUACAGCACAUCACUUAUGCUGAGUGGUUGCCAGCACUGCUCUGGGAAAACUACACCAGACGGAACAGGCUUGAACUAUCGAAUGAAGGGUACAGUAACGCGGUAACGCGUACAACAAGACCGCCGACCCAAGAUUCAGCAACAGCGUUGCGACCGCAAUAUUACCGUUCCCUAAUUCCAUGAUAAGCGACACCAUCAGGGUUGUGCACACCUGCUUAUAUAAAUGGAAGGCCGAGUGAUCAACACAAGUCAUUUGCUGAAGGAACAUUACAACCAACCAACUGGUCAACUAUUAAAUUAUAUGGAUCAGCUUGUCAGAGGGCUAUCUAUGCAGAAUACACAAAAAAUUGAUAUGAUAUUUAAAACGCUUACAAUUACUUAUACAGUGUUCAUCCAAACAACGUGUUUGGAAUGUACAUUCUCAGCUUGAAUAUAUAAUGAAGCCGCGAUCAUGGUAUACCAAGCUACACAGAAUUUAGAAAAUAUUGUCAACUAAAAUCUAUAAGAAGUGUACAAGAAUUAUCCCAGAUCAUGGUUGAAGGUAUCAACUGAUAGAAAUCAGAAAAGUGACGCUCACCAGAUUCUUUUGUGAUAACAGCAAUAAUGUCACAAUGAUGCAGAAAAGUAUUUUUGAUACCUGAAAUGGCUGACUUACAACUCUGUAAUUCCCAAUUAAUGAUAUAUUGCAUACACAAUUAUGUAAUUAUAAAAAAGUUACCUUCUAUAUCAGAGGCGUGCUCAGGAAUUUUGAAUUGUGGAGGGGAGGUUUAAAAAAAAAAAUGCAAAGUGCCUGAUCUAAAAUUAAAAAAUAUAAUAAUAAUUAUAUGUAAGUACAUACACAUAUCCCUGAUAGCAAAAUCAUAACAUAAUAACAUUAUUAUAUAAUUAUUUAUAAUUACAUUUGUAAUGACUAAUAUUUUUUUAUCAUUACAAUUUAAUUA